rnacentral:rRNA from 1 species
GGGUUGUGAGGUUAAGCGAAUAAGCGUACACGGUGGAUGCCUAGGCAAUCAGAGGCGAUGAAGGACGUGCUAAUCUGCGAAAAGCGUCGGUAAGGUGAUAUGAACCGUUAUACCCGACGAUAUCCGAAUGGGGAAACCCAGUAUCCAAUGGAUACUAUCAUUAACUGAAUCCAUAGGUUAAUGAGGCGAACCGGGAGAACUGAAACAUCUCAGUACCCCGAGGAAAAGAAAUCAACCGAGAUUCCCCUAGUAGCGGCGAGCGAACGGGGAGCAGCCCAGAGUAUUAAUCAAUAACAGUGUCAGGAGAACGGUCUGGAAAGUCCGGCAGUAAAGGGUGAUAGCCCCGUAUCUGAAGAUGCUGUUAUUGUGAACUCGACGAGUAGGGCGGGACACGUGUUAUCCUGUCUGAAUAUGGGGGGACCAUCCUCCAAGGCUAAAUACUCCUGAUUGACCGAUAGUGAACCAGUACCGUGAGGGAAAGGCGAAAAGAACCCCGGCGAGGGGAGUGAAAAAGAACCUGAAACCGUGUACGUACAAGCAGUAGGAGCCCCAUCACUCAAGUGCCUCGCACUGAGUGAUGCAAGAACAUCACCGAAAAUAGCGCCGAAUUUGCUAACAAGGUUGGUCGAUUUUUUCAAGCCGUCGCGCAGUGUACCUAGAAGUACACGAGCAACGGAAGUUAAAAAAUCGGGCAAGAUUGAACGCAAAGGCAAGCGGGACAUUUGAGGAUGGGGUGACUGCGUACCUUUUGUAUAAUGGGUCAGCGACUUAUAUUCUGUAGCAAGGUUAACCGUAUAGGGGAGCCGUAGGGAAACCGAGUCUUAACUGGGCGAAUGAGUUGCAGGGUAUAGACCCGAAACCCGGUGAUCUAUCCAUGGGCAGGUUGAAGGUUGGGUAAAACUAACUGGAGGACCGAACCGACUAAUGUUGAAAAAUUAGCGGAUGACUUGUGGAUGGGGGUGAAAGGCCAAUCAAACCGGGAGAUAGCUGGUUCUCCCCGAAAGCUAUUUAGGUAGCGCCUCGUGAACUCAUCUUCGGGGGUAGAGCACUGUUUCGACUAGGGGGUCAUCCCGACUUACCAACUCGAUGCAAACUGCGAAUACCGAAGAAUGUUAUCACGGGAGACACACGGCGGGUGCUAACGUCCGUCGUGAAGAGGGAAACAACCCAGACCGCCAGCUAAGGUCCCAAAGUCAUGGUUAAGUGGGAAACGAAGUGGGAAGGCUCAGACAGCCAGGAUGUUGGCUUAGAAGCAGCCAUCAUUUAAAGAAAGCGUAAUAGCUCACUGGUCGAGUCGGCCCGCGCGGAAGAUGUAACGGGGCUAAACCAUGCACCGAAGCUGCGGCAGCGACACAAAGUGUUGUUGGGUAGGGGAGCGUUCUGUAAGCCUGCGAAGGUGUACUGUGAGGUAUGCUGGAGGUAUCAGAAGUGCGAAUGCUGACAUAAGUAACGAUAAUGCGGGUGAAAAACCCGCACGCCGGAAGACCAAGGGUUCCUGUCCAACGUUAAUCGGGGCAGGGUGAGUCGACCCCUAAGGCGAGGCUGAAAAGCGUAGUCGAUGGGAAACGGGUUAAUAUUCCCGUACUGGUGGUAACUGCGAUGGGGGAACGGAGAAGGCUAGGUUGUCCGGGCGACGGUCGUCCCGGUUCAAGCAGGUAGGCAGAGUGAUUAGGCAAAUCCGGUCACUUAAUGCUGAGAUGUGAUGACGAACCACCAAGGUGGUGAAGCAAUUGAUGCCCCGCUUCCAGGAAAAGCCUCUAAGCUUCAGGUUACCAACAAUCGUACCCCAAACCGACACAGGUGGUCAGGUAGAGAAUACUCAGGCGCUUGAGAGAACUCGGGUGAAGGAACUAGGCAAAAUGGUGCCGUAACUUCGGGAGAAGGCACGCUGGCGGUAGGUAAAGUCCCUCGCGGACAGAGCUGAAGCCAGUCGAAGAUACCAGCUGGCUGCAACUGUUUAUUAAAAACACAGCACUGUGCAAACACGAAAGUGGACGUAUACGGUGUGACGCCUGCCCGGUGCUGGAAGGUUAAUUGAUGGGGUCAGCCGUAAGGCGAAGCUCCUGAUCGAAGCCCCAGUAAACGGCGGCCGUAACUAUAACGGUCCUAAGGUAGCGAAAUUCCUUGUCGGGUAAGUUCCGACCUGCACGAAUGGCGUAAUGAUGGCCAGGCUGUCUCCACCCGAGACUCAGUGAAAUUGAACUCGCUGUGAAGAUGCAGUGUACCCGCGGCAAGACGGAAAGACCCCGUGAACCUUUACUAUAGCUUGACACUGAACAUUGAGCCUUGAUGUGUAGAUCUCGGUGGGAGGCCGUUUAAAUGAAAAAACCAGUCUGCAUGGAGCCAACCUUGAAAUACCACCCUUUAACGUUUGAUGUUCUAACCUAGGCCCAUAAACUGGGUCGGGGACCGUGUCUGGUGGGUAGUUUGACUGGGGCGGUCUCCUCCUAAAGAGUAACGGAGGAGCACGAAGGUUGGCUAAGCAUGGUCGGACAUCAUGCGGUUAGUGCAAAGGCAUAAGCCAGCUUGACUGCGAGAGUGACGGCUCGAGCAGGUACGAAAGUAGGUCUUAGUGAUCCGGUGGUUCUGAAUGGAAGGGCCAUCGCUCAACGGAUAAAAGGUACUCCGGGGAUAACAGGCUGAUACCGCCCAAGAGUUCAUAUCGACGGCGGUGUUUGGCACCUCGAUGUCGGCUCAUCACAUCCUGGGGCUGAAGUAGGUCCCAAGGGUAUGGCUGUUCGCCAUUUAAAGUGGUACGCGAGCUGGGUUUAGAACGUCGUGAGACAGUUCGGUCCCUAUCUGCCGUGGGCGUUGGAAGAUUGAGAGGGGUUGCUCCUAGUACGAGAGGACCGGAGUGAACGCACCACUGGUGUUCGGGUUGUCAUGCCAAUGGCAUUGCCCGGUAGCUAAGUGCGGAAGAGAUAACCGCUGAAAGCAUCUAAGCGGGAAACUUGCCUCGAGAUGAGUCUUCCCUGUCACUUUAAGUGACCUAAAGGAACGUUUAAGACUAAGACGUUGAUAGGCUGGGUGUGUAAGCGUAGCGAUACGUUGAGCUAACCAGUACUAAUGAACCGUGAGGCUUAACCUGACAACACCGAAAGUGUUUUG